rnacentral:rRNA from 1 species
GACGAACCGUGCGAACGUUGUUCGGAUUCACUGGGCUUAAAGGGCGCGUAGGCGGCCGACCGCGUCUGUGGUGAAAUCUUUCGGCUCAACCGGAAAAUGGCCGUGGAUACGGGUCGGCUCGAGGAGGGUAGGGGUCACGGGAACUUCCAGUGGAGCGGUGAAAUGCGUUGAUAUUGGAAGGAACGCCGGUGGCGAAAGCGCGUGACUGGAUCCUCCCUGACGCUGAGGCGCGAAAGCCAGGGUAGCGAACGGG